AUUGAACGCUGGCGGCAGGCCUAACACAUGCAAGUCGAGCGGAUGAGUGGAGCUUGCUCCAUGAUUCAGCGGCGGACGGGUGAGUAAUGCCUAGGAAUCUGCCUGGUAGUGGGGGACAACGGUUCGAAAGGAACCCUAAUACCGCAUACGUCCUACGGGAGAAAGUGGGGGAUCUUCGGACCUUCCGCCAUCAGAUGACCCUGGGUCGGACUAGCUAGUUGGUGAGGUAAAGGCUCACCAAGGCGACGAUCCGUAACUGGUCUGAGAGGAUGAUCAGUCACACUGGAACUGAGACACGGUCCAGACUCCUACGGGAGGCAGCAGUGGGGAAUAUUGGACAAUGGGCGAAAGCCUGAUCCAGCCAUGCCGCGUGUGUGAAGUAGGUCUUCGGAUUGUAAAGCACUUUAAGUUGGGAGGAAGGGCAGUAAGUUAAUACCUUGCUGUUUUGACGUUACCAACAGAAUAAGCACCGGCUAACUUCGUGCCAGCAGCCGCGGUAAUAC
rnacentral:rRNA from 1 species